UACGAAGGACCCGAGCGUUAUCCGGAUUUAUUGGGUUUAAAGGGUGCGUAGGCGGAUUAGUAAGUCAGUGGUGAAAGCCCAUCGCUUAACGGUGGAAUUGCCAUUGAUACUGCUAGUCUUGAGUAUGGUUGAGGUGGGCGGAAUGUGUCAUGUAGCGGUGAAAUGCUUAGAUAUGACACAGAACACCAAUUGCGAAGGCAGCUCGCUAAGCCAUAACUGACGCUGAUGCACGAAAGCGUGGGGAGCAAACAGG
rnacentral:rRNA from 1 species